rnacentral:misc_RNA from 1 species
AACGCAAAUUGCACUUCUUGGUAUUCCGAGGAGUAUACUUGCUUGAGGGUUGGUCUAUAAAAAUCGUAAAUUUUUUUUACGGAUCUGGGUUUUCCGAGUUUUCUCGAUUUCGGUUGCCUAAAAUUUAUCUUUGACAAUGAGGUAUCAAUUAGAAAUGUUCUACCUUACAUUUUGUAAGUUUCAUUGAUAGUUUAUAUCGAUUGUUACAUCGCGUUAUUCAUCUAGUACCUUUGAUUAGGUGAAAUAAUUCAAUUUUUUAAAUCCUACCUCAAGUCAAGUAAGGAUACCCGCUGAACUUAA